AGAAGAUAUGACCACAUCAUCCCUAUCAUAUCCAAACUGCAUUGGCUUAAAGUAAAAUUUCACAUUGAUUAUAAAAUACUACUACUGACCUAUAAAGCACUGAAUGGUCUCAUGCCACAGUACCUGAGUGAACUUUUGGUCUUUUAUGAUCUGCCACGUCUACAGGGAUCAAAAGGUGCAGGUUAUCUUUUGGUACCUCAAAUAGUGAAGGCUACAGCAGGGGGAAGAACUUUCUCUUACAAAACCCCACAGCCUUCCAAUUAGUGUUCGGACUCAGACACAGUCUCAGUGUUUAAGUUCAGGCUGAAAACACAUUUGUUUACUUAAACUUACCAUGAAUAGACUUUUUUUUUUACUCAAAGUAUACAGUCUUAUCUAUUAUGGGAUAGUAAGCAUACCUAACAAUCUCUCCCUCUCUUUACCUCCCUCUCCCUCUCUCCUUCUGUGGAGCCACACAUGAUAUUAUGGAGAUGCCAGUGAUCCUGACCCUUUCUGCUCUCCGGACCUGCCUGAUCCAUCCUGAUGCCCUAUCUCUGAUGAGAAGCAGCCAUGUAAGCCCAAGCUAUGACAUUACCUCCACCAUGCUUGACCAGUGAGCUUGUAUGUUUUGGAUCAUGAGCAAAUCCUUUCUUUCUCCAUUUUGGCCUUUCCAUCACUUGCUGAGCUUGGCUAAUCUUGGUUCCAGAACUUUUGUGGCUCAUCUCUGUAUUUCUUGCAAAUUUCAAUCUGACUUCCUGAUUCUUACUGCUGAUGAGUGGUUUGCAUGUUGUGGUAUGGCCUGUUUCUGCUCUUGAAUACCUUUAACCCGUGCCCUUUGGAGGAUGUUGGAGAUGUCACUGACUAUUGUUUUUGGGUUUUUGUUCAGAGCUCUCACAAUGUUUCUGUCCUCAACUGCUGUUGUUUUCCUUGACUGACCUGUUCCAUGUCUUGUUGUUAGUACACCAGUGGUUUCUUAAUUUUUUCGGACAUUCCAAAUUGUUGUGUUGGCUAUGCCUAAUGCUUGUGCAAUGGCGCUGAUCAAUUUUCCCUCUUUUCUCAGCUUCAAAAUGGCUUGCUUUUCUCCCAUAGACCUCUCUAUGGCCUUCAUGUUAGUUUAUCCUUUUUAAACAGCAAACACAUUCUUCACAGGCAAAACCCAGGGCUCAAAACCAAGAGUUGAACAUUCAUAGCAUUUAUACAA
ensembl:lncRNA